UUCACAGGUACCCACACUAAAUUAAUAUUCAAACCAUGGAAUUUCUGGAGUCAACAAAGAUGGACCUAUGCCAGUGGUUAUCAACAGAUGCUCAGUAUAUCAUUGACAAGUGUCAAGAUAUUUUAUCCGUUAAACAAGGAAAGGCUGUGUGCAAUCAAGACACUGAUGAAAAGAAGAUCAGCAUGCUGUUGAAAUUUAUUAUGGAAAUGGGAGAGGAAACAUGUGAGAAGUUCCUUGAGAUUCUGAAGAAUGAGCAGAAGCAUUACCCGAGCCUUCAACAGCAUUUCAGCAACAACAUGCACGGUCCAACAGUGUAUGCGGAUUGCAACAGCAUCGUUGACACCCGAAAAGUCACCAACGUCCAUGUUAAAAAAGACUUAAACAUGGAUGCAACUGUUCAAGCAGGAGGGAUGAAUCCAUCUGGAUUCAACCACAGCCAACCACCCCCACGUGCAAAUAUGGUUGCAACCAAUAACAGCAAUGUAAUUUCACCAGGAAUAUCAAACUGUCAAGUUGAUGGAGACUUCAAUAUGUCUUUAGGACAGGCCCCACCCUCAAAUGUCCCAACAGUCCAGGUAUAUCCCUCCUGCAGUAAUGAUUUUAGGGCAACUACUCAGAUGGCUGUAUUUGCAACCCCAGCGGCGCCCUCAGAAGCCACCCCCGGAAGGGUUCUCCAAGGUGCUUCUGCCUCCGCCCGCGGAGUGGUCCGGCGAGGAGCGCCAGCCUCCGCCCUCGGAGGGGUCCGGCGAGGAGCGCCAGCCUCCGCCCGCGGAGGGGUCCGGCGAGGAGCGCCAGCCUCCGCCCGCGGAGGGGUCCGGCGAGGAGCGCCAGCCUCCGCCCGCGGAGGGGUCCGGCGAGGAGCGCC
ensembl:lncRNA